rnacentral:tRNA from 1 species
GCCUGAGUGGCUCAGUUGGUAAAAGCAUCAGACUUGGGCUCAGGUCAUGAUCUCGUGGUCUGUGAGUUCGAGUCCCGCGUCGGGCU